CCGGCACGGGUGGAGUAACACGUAUCCAACCCGCCGUCUACUCUUGGACAGCCUUCUGAAAGGAAGAUUAAUACAAGAUGGCAUCAUGAGUCCGCAUGUUCACAUGAUUAAAGGUAUUCCGGUAGACGAUGGGGAUGCGUUCCAUUAGAUAGUAGGCGGGGUAACGGCCCACCUAGUCUUCGAUGGAUAGGGGUUCUGAGAGGAAGGUCCCCCACAUUGGAACUGAGACACGGUCCAA
rnacentral:rRNA from 1 species